rnacentral:lncRNA from 1 species
AUGAACACGGUUCGGCCCUUCCUCCCGAGGCCAAGAGAUCCAGUCUCACGCAGCAGGACAGGGCGGCGCUGCUCCCCGGAGGCCGCCGAGCGCAGACCCCGCGUCGCGUCCCCGGGGGAAAGGGGCACUCGGACCCCCGAGAUGCAGAGACUGAGGCCACACAUGUCCUUCAUGCUCAGGAGUGGCAGCCCUGGAGCGUCGCUUGUCCUUGUCCAGGUAGUCGCUAGGAGUCCUGGAAGGCCAUGUGAAGACCAACGGGAUGCGAUAUCUUAUCCAGGGUCUCCAGGGCCCCUGGUCCUCCUGCCUGCAUGGGCACUAAGGAAACUAACCUUGCUGACAGCCAAAGCAGGUAGUAGCUCAGGCCAAGUGUCGGAACACCCAAUGUCUACACUGGUCGCAGCGCCCUGCAGACUGGCUGCCACUAGAUCUAACACAGAAGAGCAAGGGACAAACAAGGUAGGGACUGGGCUGCCCAUAGUGCUUACGGCAGCCUCUGAGGAGCUGGCCUUCAGCCAGGGUGUGGGGAGGGAGAGGAGACCCAGCCCUGGAUCUGAACCGUGCAACCCUCCCAGCCCAAGUAGAGGGUGCAAAGGCUUGGUCUUCCGAAUUCCCCAGAGGGAGGCUGGCUGGCAGCACCCCUGGCCUCCUCACCCAGCCCUUCCUGCUGUGAGGAGCCUCAACCAAGUGCCUUGAUGUGCCCUUUCCAGUCCUGGGCCCUGUGUGUUAUGAGGCCGAAGCAGGGCUGCCUCCAUGGAGCCCCGGCCAGGCCCAGGGCCCGGCCCACACCCCUCCACAACUUGUCCCGCUGGCAGGGCUCUCUCACUGGGCUCUGGGGGUUGUGCCUCUGGGCCCGCCUCAGGCUCACCUCCACCAGGCUGGAUCUCCUUAUCUCUGGCCUGAGUGCACAGCAAGCAGUCACAAAAAGCCCAGGGGCUGCAGAGGCCUGGGCACCUUCAGCAGUGCUGGUUCUGCAGGUCUGAGACAGCUGGACAUUUUCAGGGACCCUAGGGCGCAUUGGUGGUACCAGCCAUGAGAGAGGGACAUCCAGGUACUCCCCCAGGUGACCAAGUGGGGACUUCCUCAGGACUGGAGCACAAGUUCCCUUCCUUUCAAGGAAAAUGAAAAACAUUGUGAGCAAAUAUGAGGGGCAGUGAUGGGUAUCCCAGGUGCCUUGCUGUGGAACAUUGUAUGCAUGUAUUAAAUGUCACACAGCACUCAUAAACAAUUGCAACCUUUGUAGAUCUUUGAUAAUUGUGCUAAGUGUGAACUAGGUCCUGUUGCUAAGUUCCAGCAGAUGUGUUCUAGAUAGGAUUAAGCCCUCUGUAAAAUGUCAUAUUGUAUGCGUCUUAGUGAAGUUUGAAUGUUAAAUAAAUUAUACAGAGAGAGAGAGAGAGAGAGAGAGCCAAAAAAUGUAUACACACUUGAGCAGUUCACGUACUUAUAAAUGUCUGGAAGCUAAUGGCCAACUUUGAGCACGUUUUGUAAUUGUAGAGGCCAGCAGCUGGGUGUGGUGACCCAUGCCUGUAAUCCUAUUCAGGAGGCUGAGACAGAAGGAUUACAGAGAGUUGGAGCCCAGCCUGGGCUACAUGGUGAGUUCAAGUCCAGCCUGAACUACAUAGCAAGACUUUGUCCCAAAAAAACCAAAAACAAAAAGUAGAGGCCGAAGGUAACAUAUUAAUCUCAUGUCUCAAUAAAUUCAGUAUUAAAAUACUUAUAGAAGUUUUUCUUUUCCUGAUGUACACAUUUUUGGCUCUCUAUCCAGCUACUUGGGAAGCUGAGGCAGGAGGAUCACCAGCUCUGGCCAGCCUGAGCAAUUCAGGGAGAUCCAUCUCCAAAAAAAAGAGGGUGGGGAUUUAGUACCAAGGCCCUGGAUUCAAUCCUUUGAACUGCAAGGAAAGCAACAACAAACAACAACAACAAAAGAAGUUCCACGAAGAGUUUAGUGAAAUGAAAACAUAUACAGAGACAGGAAGGAGUUUAAGUAAAAUACAUGAUAGUUUCAUUAUGUAUAUCUAAAAUGUAACAAUAAAUAUUUUGCUGUAAAAAAAUAAUAAAACCAGGUGCCAGGAUAUGCCUCAAUGGUAGACUGUUUGCCUAGCGCAUGCAGAUCCUUGUUGAAUCCUCACCACUGCAAAAUAAAGAAACAAUGCAAUGAAAAUAAAGUUGCAUACAAUUUCUGUGUGAAUAAAGUAAUAAAAUGGAUUGCUGUGUGCCCUGCACCUUGCUCCGUGUUGUAUGUGUCCUUUACCAUCCCAGGUUAAAGGCCCAGGGAACCCCUCGACAGGGUCUUCUGG